GCGCCGAGCCCCUCGCACAAACCGGACCUGAGCGUUUUGUUCGUUCGGCUCGCGUGA
rnacentral:pre_miRNA from 1 species